GACGAACGCUGGCGGCGUGCUUAACACAUGCAAGUCGAACGGAAAUGCCCUGCUUGCAGGGUACUCGAGUGGCGAACGGGUGAGUAACACGUGGUGGCUCUGCCCUGCACUUCGGGAUAAUCUUGGGAAACUGGGUCUAAUACCGGUUAGGAGCCAUCUUUAGUGUGGUGGUUGGAAAGUUUUUUCGGUGUAGGAUGAGCUCGCGUCCUAUCAGCUUGUUGGUGGGGUAAUGGCCUACCAAGGCGGCGACGGGUAGCCGGCCUGAGAGGGUGUACGGCCACAUUGGGAGUGAGAUAAGGCCCAGACUCCUACGGGGGGCAGCAGUGGGGAAUAUUGCACAAUGGGGGCAAGCCGGAUGAAGCGACGCCGCGUGGGGGAUGAAGGCCUUCGGGGUGUAAACUCCUGUUGCUAGGGAGGAAGCGUUGUUGUGACGGUACCUAGAUAAGAAGCACCGGCUAACUACGUG
rnacentral:rRNA from 1 species